AUGAAUUGGUAAAACGUCACUGAUCCAACGGUGACGACUACUUUAAUAAAGAAUGUGGUUUUUAUUUAUUUCGAAAUGAUGUAUAUUCCUUUGUUAAGGUGUCUUGUUGAAGGUUUCUUUGUAAAUGAAUAUAAAAAAAUGAAAAGAAGUAACGGUGUGGGUGAAAGAAUGAACGUUCAAUACCUGCUGGUUAACUUUGCAAGAGAAACAGAGGUCGAUGACGAAGUGUUCUUGGAAUUUUGUAAAGCUUUUUUAUAUACGUUUUGAAAGAACCGGUUUCUUUAUUCGAUAAGAAUUUUAUUAGUAAACUGAUAAGAUAGUUUCGAGAAUUCCUUGAAAAUUAUUAAUUAAUCAAUUUUAAAUUGAAGUAGUUAUAAAACAAUACACAUAUACAUACUUGCUGAUUUAUCAAAAACAAUUUUUUAAUUUACAUUUUAAUAAGUUACUCUUUGUUGUAUCGAGUUACCUAUUUAGUAAGAUAAAGAAUACAAUAAACAAUAACGAACACACAAUAGGUAAAUGAAUAAAUUAAAAGUGGCUUAAACCAGUUUUAAAAUUUCUUUGUCAAUAUAUGUUAAGGAAUCGUUAAAAACAUCUCAAUAACAAUUAAUGCUUGGAAAUAAAUGACCUCCACACAGUCGUUA